AUUCAUAAACAACUUUGGUUCUUUUUUGAUGUAGCACCAUCUUUAUAUAUAAAUAGUGGUUACCCCGCGCGUUACCGCGGAUAUUAAAGAACAAUACAUCCGCGUCCAUGAUCAGUGCAAGAAUCACUGUAAUACUCAAACAGCUUGAGAACAAUGCAUUGUGCAAAUGUAAUUAGGGGAGAACACUUUACCAUUUGGGUAACAUUUUAUGAAAAAAACAUUGUGCUAAAACAUAUCCAAAGCAACGGCAGAAUUUGACCGCAAAUCACAAAGUAGAAAAUGAGAACAUUAGUCAUGUGCGACACCAAUCGGAACAAUUGCGCCAACCAUCAUGGCAUAGAGUACUGCCGACCGAUGCCUUGUACUAAUCCAUGAGAUCGAUGUGUGAAUAUGUGAUGCUGCUUGCCGCGUAGCCAGCUGCUCUGCCUCUUGCGCCUUGCAGCCUUGCAGCAGCUUGCGCCGCUCGCACUGACGCUCGCACUUGCGGCAACUCUGUCGCGCAGCAGCUCCCGCUUGCCGUUCCUAUGUGAUGGACGAUGCUGAGUCACCGCGUCGCCACAGCAUGCACCGAAUCGACCUCCACCUCCCUCGUCUCGGCUUUCCACGGCCUUGGCGCCGCCGCAACCUCCCUCACCAACCACGGCAGAGGGAUGGUUGGUGGUUAUCGGGACCAUGGACGCAGGUAGAAUCGGUGGCAAGGGAUUCGGCAGGGAAGGGAUGCACGGCCGGAUUUGGGCUCCGGCUGCUCGUUGGGGCGGGGAAGCGCAGUAGGGGCGGCGCCGGUUGUCGGGGAGGAGAAGAGGAGCAUCGGCGACGGCCGGCGGGCCUCAGAAAGGCCGCGCGGGGGAGUCAGACGAUGACGGAGCGCCGGCAGGGUCGGGGCUGAGCCCAUGGGCAGGGACAUCGUUCUGAGGCGGCCGGGGCCGAGCUUGUGGGCAGUGGGGACGGAACUUGGCCGCGGCUGGUGGGCCUGGUGCAGCGCGCGGCGGCGACGGGGGCGCAGCGCGAGCCGUCAACGGCUAGCACAUCGCGCAAGGAGAUUGAGCAGCCAGCCAGACGGGGGAAAUUAGAAAAUGUGAUGAUUAGACACGCUGACGUGGAUAGGCUGCAUGUGCAGCUUGCUAAAUUAACUGCACUUAGAGCAUCAGCAGCAAACUACUCAAAUGACCCCCUAUAGUUAUAUUUGGGGGUUUUCAGCAAAAAUGCUCCUCCAGAAGAACACCCAUACAACUACCUAAACCUAGCCGGUCCCCAAAUCCCCAUCGGGAGCCCCCAGGUUCCUCUGCCGCGUCGGGAGUCCCUAUCGCUGCUGCGCCAACGGAAUCGGUCCUCUUCCCGCUCCUCCCGCCAAGGGUGUUUCAAUGGACAGCCAGAGUCCUAUGGGUCUCUACACAAAUUUGUUGAGUGAAGGAUACACUCAAGAAGCUUGGGACCAAAAUUUGGGCAGUCCAUUCCGAGAACAAGUAAUGCAAUCUCAAGUAACUCCUCCGGUAAAAGCAAACACCAAGAGGACAAGAAACUUCACUGAUAAAGAAGAUGAAGUGUUGGUGGCUGCAUGGUUGCAUGCUAGUAUGGAUCCAAUAGUAGGUAGUGAGCAAAAGCAUGCAACUUAUUGGAACAGGAUUCAUGAGGAGUAUGAAUUGCACAAGCCACAAGGAAGUGAGCGCAAUGUCAAUUCCAUAUCACAUCAUUGGUCCGUUGUGAAAGAACAAGUGGGUAGGUUUUGUGGAUGUUACGAGCAAAUUAUGCAUAGGCACGAAAGUGGGAAGCCAGAGCAAGACAAGAUUGUUGAUGCUCUCAAAUUGUUCAAGUCACAAGAUAAGACCAAUAAAGGGUUUGUGCUAUUGCAUUGUUGGAACAUGCUGCGUUUUGAACAAAAGUGGUUAGCUCAAGCUGAUAGGUCAUCUCAUAGUAAUAAAAAGUAGAAGUCAAGCUCCAAUGCAAGUCCAAGUAUGUCUACUCCUGGAGUUGAUGCGAUACACAGUUGACGCGAUACACAUUGAUGACUUUGAAGCUACAUCUCCGGUCAAAGCUGGUCACAUGAAGAGACCCAUUGGGAAGAAGGCGGAGAAAGAGCGGCAACGUCGAGGUAAAAAUGUUACCUCUUUAGAAGAUAGUAAUGUUGUGAUGGCUUUGGAUGUUCUGUUCUCAAAGAGGACAAAGUUGGAGGAGGCAAGAGAUAUGGCAAGAGAAACAUCAAGACAAGCAAGAGAGAUGGCAAGAGAAACGGCACGACAAGCAAGAGAGGAUGCAAGAGAGGCAUCAAAGGAAAAGCGUUAUGUUGGAGCACUUGCAAUGGAGCAAAGGAAGUUCGAAUUUGAGGAAAGGAAGAUGGAAAUGGACAUCAUGAACAAGGAUCUUAGUUCGUUGGAUGAUGACCAAAAAGAAUACUACAAGAUGAUAAGGCGUGAUAUCAUUGACCGGCAAUCUAAAAGAUCGAUUUGACUGUGUUGUUGUAUUAAAUAUUUGAGUAUGGACUAUGUUGUUGUUUUAACUAUUUGAGUAUGGACUAUGUUGUUGUAUUAACUAUUUGAGUAUGGACUACGUUGUUGUAUUAACUAUUUGAGGUCCAUGGACUAAUUCA